GGGAAUGUGGCUCAGUGGUAAAGCGCUUGCCUUGCAUGCAUGAGGCCGUGGGUUCGAUUCCCAAAGCACCA
rfam:Dipodomys ordii contig_32637, whole genome shotgun sequence.